rnacentral:lncRNA from 1 species
GACAAUCGAUAAUUUUUCCCAAAAAGUCGACUAGAGAGGAGGAUUCAACACUCUUUCAAAAUAAUAAGAUGUAAAAUUACAAGUUAGAAAAAUAGGAUGAUAAUUGACCUUUUAAUAAACAAAAAUAAGAUUUUAGGUAUUACAAAGAUGAAUUUUGAAAAGAUGAGGAAAAAAGAAGAAAAAUGGAGAAUUUUGGUAGUGGCCGACGAUGGCGGUGCGACGAUGAUGACGACGGUAGAGGAGAGAUGGUGGUGCGGUGGAGGUACGAUAGCCUAGUGUGGUGGUGGAAUGGAGGAGAAAUGAGGAAAUGGGAUGUCUAAGGUUUUGAAAAGGAAAAAAAGAAGAGAAAAAUGGUAGUGCAAGUUGGAG